UACGUAGGGUGCGAGCGUUACUCGGAAUUACUGGGCGUAAAGCGUGCGCAGGCGGUUUUGCAAGCCGGAUGUGAAAUCCCCGGGCUUAACCUGGGAAUGGCAUUUGGGACUGCAAGGCUGGAGUGCGGCAGAGGAGACUGGAAUUCCUGGUGUAGCAGUGAAAUGCGUAGAUAUCAGGAGGAACACCGAUGGCGAAGGCAGGUCUCUGGGCUGACACUGACGCUCAUGCACGAAAGCGUGGGGAGCAAACAGG
rnacentral:rRNA from 1 species